rnacentral:rRNA from 1 species
CCUACGGGAGGCAGCAGUGAGGAAUAUUGGUCAAUGGGCGGAAGCCUGAACCAGCCAAGCCGCGUGAGGGAUGAAGGUACAGAGUAUCGUAAACCUCUUUUGUCAGGGAACAAAGGCGGGGACGCGUCCCCGGAUGAGUGUACCUGAAGAAAAAGCAUCGGCUAACUCCGUGCCAGCAGCCGCGGUAAUACGGAGGAUGCGAGCGUUAUCCGGAUUUAUUGGGUUUAAAGGGUGCGCAGGCGGUCUGUUAAGUCAGCGGUCAAAGCCCGGGGCUCAACCCCGGCCCGCCGUUGAAACUGGCAGUCUCGAGUUGGAGAGAAGUAUGCGGAAUGCGCGGUGUAGCGGUGAAAUGCAUAGAUAUCGCGCAGAACUCCGAUUGCGAAGGCAGCAUGCCGGCUCCACACUGACGCUGAGGCACGAAAGCGUGGGUAUCGAACAGGAUUAGAUACCCCUGUAGUC